rnacentral:rRNA from 1 species
CCUACGGGCGGCAGCAGUGAGGAAUAUUGGUCAAUGGCCGAGAGGCUGAACCAGCCAAGUCGCGUGAGGGAAGACGGCCCUACGGGUUGUAAACCUCUUUUGUCGGGGAGCAAAGCGAGUCACGUGUGACUCAUUGAGAGUACCCUAAGAAAAAGCAUCGGCUAACUCCGUGCCAGCAGCCGCGGUAAUACGGAGGCUGCGAGCGGUAUCCGGAUUUAUUGGGUUUAAAGGGUGCGCAGGGGGAGGUGCAAGUCAGCGGUAAACUUGCGGGGCUCAACCCCGUACUGCCGUUGAAACGGCAUCCCUUGAGUGCGGGAGAAGUAGGCGGAAUGCGUGGUGUAGCGGUGAAAUGCAUAGAUAUCACGCAGAACUCCGAUUGCGAAGGCAGCAUACCGGAGCGCAACUGACGCUGAUGCACGAAAGCGUGGGUAUCGAACAGGAUUAGAUACCCCAGUAGUC